CCUACGGGAGGCAGCAGUGGGGAAUUUUGGACAAUGGACGCAGGUCUGAUCCAGCCAUGCCGCGUGCGGGAAGAAGGCCUUCGGGUUGUAAACCGCUUUUGUCAGGGAAGAAAAGGUUCUGGUUAAUACCUGGGACUCAUGACGGUACCUGAAGAAUAAGCACCGGCUAACUACGUGCCAGCAGCCGCGGUAAUACGUAGGGUGCAAGCGUUAAUCGGAAUUACUGGGCGUAAAGCGUGCGCAGGCGGUUAUGCAAGACAGAGGUGAAAUCCCCGGGCUCAACCUGGGAACUGCCUUUGUGACUGCAUAGCUAGAGUACGGUAGAGGGGGAUGGAAUUCCGCGUGUAGCAGUGAAAUGCGUAGAUAUGCGGAGGAACACCGAUGGCGAAGGCAAUCCCCUGGACCUGUACUGACGCUCAUGCACGAAAGCGUGGGGAGCAAACAGGAUUAGAUACCCUGGUAGUCCACGCCCUAAACGAUGUCAACUGGUUGUUGGGAGGGUUUCUUCUCAGUAACGUAGCUAACGCGUGAAGUUGACCGCCUGGGGAGGUACGGCCGCGAGUGAACGACAAGAAGUAGACGGCGUGAGACGUGCCGACGGACGACGACGAGGGAGGUUAGG
rnacentral:rRNA from 1 species